rnacentral:rRNA from 1 species
UACGUAGGGUGCAAGCGUUGUCCGGAAUUAUUGGGCGUAAAGAGCUCGUAGGCGGUUUGUCGCGUCGGCUGUGAAAACCUGGGGCUCAACUCCGGGCCUGCAGCCGAUACGGGCAGACUAGAAUUCGGUAGGGGAGACUGGAAUUCCUGGUGUAGCGGUGAAAUGCGCAGAUAUCAGGAGGAACACCGGUGGCGAAGGCGGGUCUCUGGGCCGAUAUUGACGCUGAGGAGCGAAAGCGUGGGGAGCGAACAGG